rnacentral:rRNA from 1 species
CAGUGAGAGUAGGCAAAUCCGCUCUCAUAAUGCUGAGGCGUGAUGGGGAAGGUUCCACGGAACCGAAGUACAUGAUUCCACGCUGCCAAGAAAAGCGUCUAGAGAGAGAAGUAGUGCCCGUACCGCAAACCGACACAGGUAGGUGAGGAGAGAAUCCUAAGGCCGGCGGAAGAAUUACAGUUAAGGAACUCGGCAAAUUGACCCCGUAAGUUCGCGAGAAGGGGUGCCUACGAGAGUAGGCCGCAGAGAAUAGGCCCAAGCAACUGUUUAGCAAAAACACAGGUCUCUGCUAAAGCGUAAGCUGAUGUAUAGGGGCUGACGCCUGCCCGGUGCUGGAAGGUUAAGGGGAACACUUAGCGCAAGCGAAGGUGUGAACUUAAGCCCCAGUAAACGGCGGCCGUAACUAUAACGGUCCUAAGGUAGCGAAAUUCCUUGUCAGGUAAGUUCUGACCCGCACGAAUGGCGUAAUGACUUGGGCACUGUCUCAACUGUAAAUCCGGCGAAGUUGUAGUGCGAGUGAAGAUGCUCGCUACCCGCGAUUGGACGGAAAGACCCCGUAGAGCUUUACUGUAGCUUAGCAUUGAGUUUUGGUAUUGUCUGUACAGGAUAGGUGGGAGACUAGGAAACCAGGGCGUCAGCCUUGGUGGAGUCAACCUUGGGAUACCACCCUGACAGUACUGAAAUUCUAACUGGCGGCCAUGAAUCUGGUCACAGGACAUUGUUAGGUGGGCAGUUUGACUGGGGCGGUCGCCUCCUAAAAAGUAACGGAGGCGCCCAAAGGUUCCCUCAGAACGGUCGGAAAUCGUUCGAAGAGUGCAAAG